GGGGGACGGGUGAGUAAUGCUUAGGAAUCUGCCUAUUAGUGGGGGACAACAUUCCGAAAGGAAUGCUAAUACCGCAUACGCCCUACGGGGGAAAGCAGGGGAUCUUCGGACCUUGCGCUAAUAGAUGAGCCUAAGUCAGAUUAUCUAGUUGGUGGGGUAAAGGCCUACCAAGGCGACNAUCUGUAGCGGGUCUGAGAGGAUGAUCCGCCACACUGGGACUGAGACACGGCCCANACUCCUACGGGAGGCAGCANUGGGGAAUAUUGGACAAUGGGCGAAAGCCUGAUCCAGCCAUGNCGCGUGUGUGAAGAANGCCUUUUGGUUGUAAAGCACUUUAAGCGAGGAGGAGGCUACUUAGAUUNAUACUCUAGGAUAGUGGACGUUACUCGCAGAAUAAGCACCGGCUAACUCUGUGCCAGCAGCCGCGGUAAUACAUGAGGGUGCGAGCGUUAAUCNNAUUUACUGGGCGUAAAGCGUGCGUAGGCGGCUUUUUAAGUCGGAUGUGAAAUCCCUGAGCUUAACUUAGGAAUUGCAUUCGAUACUGGGAAGCUAGAGUAUGGGAGAGGAUGGUAGAAUUCCAGGUGUAGCGGUGAAAUGCGUAGAGAUAUUGGAGGAAUACCGAUGGCGAAGGCAGCCAUCUGGCCUAAUACUGACGCUGAGGUACGAAAGCAUGGGGGAGCAAACAGGAUUAGAUACCCUGGUAGUCCAUGCCGUAAACGAUGUCUACUAGCCGUUGGGGGCCUUUGAGGCUUUAGUGGCGCAGCUAACGCGAUAAGUAGACCGCCUGGGGAGUACGGUCGCAAGACUAAAACUCAAAUGAAUUGACGGGGGCCCGCACAAGCGGUGGAGCAUGUGGUUUAAUUCGAUGCAACGCGAAGAACCUUACCUGGUCUUGACAUAGUAAGAACUUUCCAGAGAUGGAUUGGUGCCUUCGGGAACUUACAUACAGGUGCUGCAUGGCUGUNGUCAGCUCGUGUCGUGAGAUGUUGGGUUAAGUCCCGCAACGAGCGCAACCCUUUUCCUUAUUUGCCAGCGGGUUAAGCCGGGAACUUUAAGGAUACUGCCAGUGACAAACUGGAGGAAGGCGGGGACGACGUCAAGUCAUCAUGGCCCUUACGACCAGGGCUACACACGUGCUACAAUGGUCGGUACAAAGGGUUGCUACCUAGCGAUAGGAUGCUAAUCUCAAAAAGCCGA
rnacentral:rRNA from 1 species